UACGGCUCAGUAACACGUAGGUAACCUACCCUCAGGACUGAGAUAACCCCGGGGAAACUGGGGCUAAUAUUAGAUAGAUAAAAGAUACUGGAAUGUUCUUUUAUCCAAAGCUUUUGCGCCUGAGGAUGGGCCUGCGUCCGAUUAGGUCGUUGGUGGGGUAAUGGCCCACCAAGCCUGCGAUCGGUACGGGCAGUGGAAGCUGAAGCCCGGAGUUGGGGACUGAGACAAGGCCCCAGGCCCUACGGGGCGCAGCAGGCGCGAAACCUCUGCAAUGCGGGAAACCGUGACAGGGGGAUCCCAAGUGCUCAUGCAUUGCAUGGGMUGUUCUUUGGUMUAAGUAACCAGAGGAGUAAGGGCUGGGCAAGACCGGUGCCAGCCGCCGCGGUAAUACCGGCAGCUCAAGUGGUAGCCGCGAUUAUUGGGCCUAAAACGUUCGUAGCCGGAUAAGUAAGUCUUUGGUUAAAUCCUGCGACUCAACCGUGGGAAUUCUAGAGAUACUGCUCGUCUUGAGACCGGGAGAGGUUGGAGGUACUCCUAGGGUAGGGGUGAAAUCCUGUAAUCCUAGGGGGACCACCUGUGGCGAAGGCGUCCAACUGGAACGGGUCUGACGGUGAGGGACGAAACCUAGGGGAKCCUCCCCKUUUUAAUACCCGGGUAGUCCUAGGCGUAAA
rnacentral:rRNA from 1 species